GGCUGGUGAGGGUAAAUCAGUAGCGACGUGUUAAAAGGCCCGAGCACCGGCACUUGAAAGAACUGCCAGCAUUUGCCGCGGAAAUUUUUCGUCGUUCCCCAGGCAGCGUUUCCCUCGACUACGGCAAGAAGCAUAUUUCGCACCCCUACUGAACAUCUGACUGUUUAAUACAUCAGCACCAAGGUUCACUGCAGGUUAUUUAUACGGGUCAUCAUGUUUAUAACCAUUGGAAGCAUAUGUGGUCUUCUGUUGCUCAUUCUGGCCCUGACUCCGGCGUCGUUGCAAAGCAGCAAGCAUGAAAACGAUGAAACAAACGGCUGGAAAGAAGUCAAGGGUGGUGCAGGCAAGCCGCAUUAUGCUAAGAUGGCAGAUUUCGCAGUUCGGCAUUAUACAACUGCCGUGGAAUACUACCUUGCCGUCAACAAGCUGCAGAAGGUGCAACAAAAGGGUCAUCACUACAAGCUCACAUUCUUGUAUACCCCGACGCGCUGCCCAGUGACAAAAGUUUUCGAACCUGAACUUUGUGUGGCAACAAGCGCAAAGCCGUCGGGAAAAUGUCAAGCAUUUGUCACCGAGAAGAAGAAAGGCCCCUUUGUAGACUGGAUUGACUGCGACGGUUUUGACAAGAAAGAAUCUCGACGAGCUGGCGUGCAACUUCCGAAAAAGCAGAGGCGGUCAAUUGUCCCAGGGAGGAGCUCUUCGAAUUAGUGUCGGGACCUCCAAGGCCCACCUUCAGCCACGUGCGCACUGCCACAAAAGCGCUUGAAGGUGCAAUAUCUUGGAAUGUUAUGCUGCCGAUGCACAUAAAGCAUGACAAAAGUUUAUUUACCGUUA